CCACUGCAAACUGAACGCUUCUUCUUCCUCCGCCACUCCACGCACAGUAACGCCACCGCAAUCACUCCCGGCGCCAUGACUCCGCCCCUGCCCCUUCCGUUUUUCCCCAAUCAAGGGCUCUACUUCAAUCCCCUGCAUUUCCCCAUAUUUAAAUCUCCUCUCCCCCUGCAGCUAGUUCUUUUCUCCUCCCCUCUACAAGCAGAUCCUGCCACAACCUAGGGCACCGUCGACGCCAGUCCUUUCGUCCGUCGCUGGACAGGUAAUCACCGUCCUCUGGAUCGCUGCAGUGCUCCCGUUUCAUUUUUGUCAUCACCCUACACACACGAUUAUCCUAUCUCCGGCGAACACCUACACCUGAACUCACCUCUCUUCUUUUGUAGUCAGCGACUGGGUUAGUUUAGAAGGUGUAGUCCCUGGACCUGUUUAGGAUAGGCUACAGAAGCACUUAGGGCCCUUGUGUAGCAGUACUUGUUUUGUUCACCAAGAUUAUUGGCAGCUCAAAAUCUGCAGGUGUGUUUAGUGGUAGUUUUUUUUUUUCAGUUUGGAACCGCUGUUAUUAUAUUCAUGGCAUCCUCUCUUUCUUUUUUUUCUUUCAGUCUGUACCUACAGCAUGAAGUUCAGAUUGUAUGGUGGAGCACCUGCACAUGUAGUUUAAUCCAAAUUUGGUCUCAACUGUUUUGCUAUUGCUCAAUGCUUCCAUCAAUGCAUAUUCUGUAAUUAUUUACCAUCAAGUUUCAGAUUUGUGUAGUUGGUAGAUACUUCACUGUAGGUUUCAGCAUACUAAUGUUUCUAGUUCAGUAGCACAUAUCAGGUUAGAAGCUGCAAGCUGAUUUGUUUCAUUAGCAUGAAUUUCUACAUGUAUGUAUGGAUUUUUCCUUCAUAUCCAGUGGAUGUAUAUGGCUGUUUGUGAAUCUGUUACAGUGGUUGUACAGUCUCAGUUUAUCUCCUAUGCAGCGGAUACCAUAUUGAGGAGUAGUUCGGUCGUAUAUUUUGUCUCUCUCCCUGCUGUAUGUCAACUAAUUGUUGACUAAUUGUUUAGUUGAUGCACUGUUUCAUCUAGCAUGCAUAAUUGUUCAGUUGCUGCACUAUUGUUGUUUCACAUACAUGAGCUUUUCAGUGACUAAUACAGUUAGCAGGUUGUAUGUGCUUUGGUGCUAGCAAAUUCAGUUUUACUCUACUGUACUCAAUCUGAUACAUGUCACUGUACCUCCUGUGCUAGUAGAAAUGCAGUGUUGUUAUUCUUUUAGUUACAUGCUUGCCCAGUUUGCCAUAUAGAUUCUGCUAUACUAGUGCUUGUGCUAGAAAGGCAUAAUUGUGUUUGUAGCUUCAAAAUCAUCUUUCUGCUGUUUAAAUUAUAUUAGAGAAACCCUGUUCUUCCAUGGAGCUGUGUAUCAAUUAUUGAGUUUUGCAUACUGUUUGCAUCUUGCUUAGCUGAGAAAGAAACUAGUGUUUAAAUUGUUGGAUGCUUCACAUGCUUAGAGCAGUAGCUAUUCUACUCUCUUUUCCUUAGGGUAAGAUCAUGCUUGCUGUACUCUUGAGUUCUUAGAUUAAAUUGGAGCAUACAAGCUUGUGUAUUAAGGUUAUAUGGGAGGGUAUCAUUAUAUAUACUAUGGUUAAGGACACUAGGAGGCCAGCAUAAAGGAUUCUCUAGUUCCACACUCUCUUGCUAUUCCACGACUCGGAGACACACUCUGUGUAUCACCCUAUUCAUUCCAAAUUGGUUCAUGUGUUUAUCUCGCUUUCUUUCAGACUCUUCUUUUGGAUUCUUUAUUGGAGUUGUUUAUUUAUUUGGUGGCGAUUUAUUUUUAUGACGAAUAGGGAGUGACGGGAACGACCACACCCAGGGCCACGAAGGAGAAGAACAGUACCCCGACAACGAAGGCAUGCCCCCCCCCCCCUCUCUCUUUGAUCAUAUUUAUCCUAUGUUUUCAAAUGGGCAUUGGUUAGCUAUUUUAUUGUUUUAUAAACAUGCAUGCUACUUAUUUCUUGUAGCUAGUGUGUCGAUUGACACUUGGCCAUGAUCUGCUUGUCGCCAUUCCUUUGAUACCUGGAGUCGUUUAUAUAGUAUUCUUGUAGAGUAGAAAUGCUUAGCCUUGUUCAUAUUAUUCAUUAGGAAUCACUCUUUUGCCUCUUCGAGGAUUCUAUGUGAUCUUUGGAUCGAUGAUACAUUGUUGAAAGUUGUUGUGGAUGUUGUUCCCUCUUCUUGGAAUCCCCUUCUACUCUCUCUACCUACUCUGGGUGAAACUUACCAUACAACUGGUGCGGGCGGCAGCUGGAUCAUUGGUUGAAGGAGCAAUUGUUAGCCUAUGUGGGAGCAAAUAGCCGCUCGUAGCAGAUGAGGCCUAAUAAUAAGUCUUGAAUCUGAAGAUUGUGACAACAGUGCGACCACAUGCUAUAUGGGCUCUGGCUUGGUCAAGUAAGCUAGUCAGCCUUAGGUGUCGAUGAUGCCGUACCGCAAAUGGGGUGUCACCUGAGAUGGGAGAACCCUCGGCACAGAUGGGGGGACCGGAGAUGGGGACGUACUCAUUCCGUGCGCCAGACCCGGUGGGCUCGUCACAUCUUUGGGGGAGGUAGCUAAAAGACCUCGUCAUGGUCUCUGGCUUGGUCAAGUAAGCUAGUCAGCCUUAGGUGUCGAUGAUGCCGUACGCAAAUGGGGUGUCACCUGAGAUGGGAGAACCCUCGGCACAGAUGGGGGGACCGGAGAUGGGGACGUACUCAUUCCGUGCGCCAGACCCGGUGGGCUCGUCACAUCUUUGGGGGAGGUAGCUAAAAGACCUCGUCAUGGUCUCGCUGUCGAUACACUGAGGAUUGUGUUCAUCAGUAGCGCAACUGGUUAGGCACAAGGCGAGAUCAUGUCGUGUGGGUACAACGUACAACCUCUGCAGAGUGUAAAACUAUUCGAAUAGCCGUGUCCACGGUCAUGGACGGCACAUGAUACUUUCUUGACAUACGGGACCUGUCUUCUUUCCCUUCCUUCCUCCCUCUCUAACUUCUUGCUGGAACUGAGGAUUUGGGUGAGUGGUCGAGGACCCUCACGUUGUUGGAUAAUGCUUUUGAGAUAAACUUGAUUUUAUCAAAACCGCCUUCAUCAAAAGUAUAGUUGUAUUUCAAACAAAACCGCUUUUAUGCAAAAGAAUCAUAUAGCCUUCCUUUGAAGCCAACAUGCAGUUAUCAGGGUUCCCAGAGGGGGCACGCUGAGUACGUAAUGUACUCAUUGCGAUGGUUUGUUGUUGUCGUUAUUGUACAGAGUACUAUGAAGAAGAAGACGUUGACGGCGACUACUACGGUGAACCUGAGGAGUGAGGCCUCGUGUGCUACAUCGACUGCCUGUGGCUGAGAUGGAGGCACCAUGCGUCGUUUAUUGUUUUCUGCUACUAUUUCAGACUUGUAAUAAUAAUGCCCCAAGACAUUGCUUUAUGUAAGCCGAAGGGCAUUUUACUAUUCAAACUUUGUAUUAACUUUUGAACUGUCGUGCAACGAGAUACAUUUCGCAUGUACAUUAGCAUUCCUGGGCUAGUGUUACAUGGGGUCUAGGAGUUUGUUUCCUGGUUCUCACAGAAGUGGUAUCAGAGCCGACGUCGACCUAGCAUCGUGGCCUUAGAUAGAAUGGAAAAGCCUUAAGGACUUAUUUUGGGAAAACUCUAUUUAUAAAAAAUAUAUUAAGCUUCUUUGCUGUUACUUUCCCAGUCAUUUAGUUAUUUUAAAAAAAUGUUGCUGAUUUCCUUACCUAUUUCAAAUGUGUGUAGAGGAUCCCUCCACGACGGACUUAGCAAGCCUUGGUUUCCUUGGUCAAGAGUUGCGGGACAUGCUGUACUACCUGCACUUUGACCGAGACCCUGAGAUCCACGCAGAGGACCGACGGACGGUGGAGGGUGACGCAUUUGUCAGAGUCACCAUCUGGGUGUUUCCACGCCGAGAACAACCCAGAGGCCCCCACCGAAGCAUUGCCGCUGGGGAGGACUUCGAGGAUGCUAGCAUCAACGCCAUCCAUCAGAUGCUACACAGGCUCGGUGGAUUAUACCAGGACGAGCUGCAUGGCACACCGAUCCGCCACUUCGCCUUCCGUAGGGAGGGAGGACCCCUGCAGCUGAGCCAGUACCUUCGCACGGAGACCAAUCCGACGGUCCUUCACAUGACUAGGUACUCGUACGGAUUGGAGGGACGGCUACUCACCACCUCCGGUAUGUUGCGUGACAUGCAUGCUCGCCUUCAGCACAACCGUCGCCGCAUGGAGAUUCUGGAGGAGAGGCUUGUUGAGGCAAACACGGCCUUGGUUGCUGCCCAAGCAGCGGCACACAACGCAGAGGCUGCUGCCAAGGAGGCCAUCAACAACACCAACGAUCAGGCUCAGGCAGCGAUCGAAGCCAACAAUACCAUGGCGGAGGUGGCUGUUCAUGCUGCCCAAGAACAGGCUCAACAUGCCGCUGCAGCAGCAUAGAGGGAAAGGGAUCGCGUUAUAGCACGACGUCGGAGGAACUACUACCUAGAGCACGGGAGACGCAGCAUCGCGAGGAGUGCUCCUGUGCCAAGGAGACGCCGCCUCACUCUCCGGGCGAUUGUUUCACCGCCCCUUGCACUGCCAGCUCCACCAACACCACUUGCAGUGCAGCCACCAACCGUGGAGGACUCCCAGGAGGAGGAGAUUGAGCUAGAGGAGGUGAUACCAGCCACACCGGAGCCACCGGAGCCUCGUUUUGAGCUGCACUUUGUGUCAGCCGUGGACUACCCUUACCCUUAGAGAGGUGACAGUUUCUAGAGGAGUAAGAGCCUGUAGUGUCCCACUCUUGGGAGAGCUAUGCUAAAAAUAAACUUUAGUUAUUUUCUUGGAUGAUUAUGUGUCGUAGCAGACUAUACCGACCCCUUGUGGUAUAGUUCCUACUUUAUCUUACAAUUGUAUGCAUCGGUUUAUUUGGAGUUAAUGAAAUGUUUUAUGGAUUUUCCAAUCGCUUGUUGUUUAUGCUUUGUUUAAGGGUUAAGAAUUUUUUCCCUCUUGUCUAUUUUAAUCCUUGAAGCGAUCCACAGGAUGAAUGCCAACUGCGGAGGACGUGGAGGCCGAGGCCGAGGUCGUGGAGGCCGUGGCCGUGGUCGUGGUAGAGGACCAGCUUUUGAGGAUCCAAACUUUGAGGAGGACUUUGAGAAUGAAGAGGAACAUGAACAAGAACAAGAACAAGAACCUAAUGGAGGAGAAGACACACCACCACAACCACCUAACUGGCAGCAAAUGAUGUUGAUGCAAACUCAGAUCCUGCAGCAGUUGGCAGCCAAUGUUGGUAAUCAGAAUCAGGGGCACAACAACAAUCAGUCCAGGCUUGCUGAAUUCAUGAGGACGUAGCCACCUACCUUUGAAGGUUCAGCAGACCCUCUUGAUGCUGAUGACUGGUUGAAGGACAUACAAAGGAAGCUCAACUUGGCAAAUUGCAAUGGGGCUGAUCGAGUCAAGUUCGCGGCGCACCAGUUCAAAGGUGUGGCUGCAGAUUGGUGGGAGAACUGCUAUGAUGCACAUGAGGAUGCCCAAAGUAUCACGUGGAAUGAGUUCUCUGAAGCUUUCCGUAUUGCUCACAUCCCUGCGGGCAUUAUGGAGUUGAAGAGAGAUGAAUUUAGAGCUUUGGUUCAGGGAAAAAUGUCUGUGACAGAAUAUUUGAGCAAGUUCACACAGUUGGCUCGCUAUGGAAGGGCUGAUAUUCCAACCGAGGCAGAUAGGACAGCAAGGUUUUUGAAGGGGUUGAACCCAGGGCUGAAGGACAGGCUAGUCUCCCAUGACUUUCCCACUUUUCAGCAUCUUGUCAACAAAGCUAUCCUGCAGGAAAACUCUAGGAGAGAACUUGAGGAGCAUCGCAAGCGCCGUGCACCACAAGGUCAUUCUGGGGCAAGUAGCUCUCGCCAGAAAACAAGCCAGCAUCCAGGCUAUCGUGUGCAAAAACCUUCAAGGCCAAGCAACAACUCAGCACCUCGCAACAUGUACAAGACUCCUAGAGCCGAAGUGGGAGGACAGCACGCUAACACCGCUGCGAAUGUUUGCUACAAAUGUGGGGCAGAAGGGCACUUCGCGAGGGAAUGUCCUAACGGGAAGGCCGGGCUGACGCCAGUGAAGUUCAACUUGGAUUCUGCCACAAAGACUCCAGCCGCAGGCCGAGGGCGCGGUAUACUCCAAACACCGGGGAGUGGAUCGCGUAUACUAAUUCAGGCAGGACGUGGUCGAGUCAACCAUGUUACUAUUGAGGAAGCUCAGGAGGCACCAGAUGUCGUUAUUGGUAUGUUCCCAAUCAACUCAUGUUAUGGUUUAGUACUUUUUGAUUCUGGAGCUUCCCAUUCGUUUAUUUCAAGGUCUUUUGCUAAAAACCACAACUUUCAUAUUGAGGUUAUGAGUUCGCAACUAUUGGUACAAACACCUGGGGGAGUUAUAAGGGCUGGGUUGAGAUGUCCAAAAGUGAUCCUAGUGAUUGAAGGAGUAGAAUUUCUAGCAAAUCUCAUCUUGUUAGACUCUAAAGGUUUGGAUGUCAUCUUGGGAAUGAAUUGGCUGAGUAAACACAAGGCUAAGAUAGACCGUGGCGCUGGGUCUAUAUUAUUGACUGAUGAUAUAGGGACCAUGGUGGAAUUCAAGCCCAAUACCCCAUCUCAUCCUGAGACAAAAGCGACGCUGCAUAGUAUGAAGGAGUUAGAGGUCGGAGAUGUUCGUGUGGUGAAUGAGUACCAAGACGUCUUUCUAGAAGAAUUGCCCGGUCUACCACCAGACCGUGAGAUUGAGUUUGCCAUUGAGUUAGUGCCAGGCACCGCUCCUAUUGCAAAGAGACCUUACAGAAUGCCGGCUAAUGAGCUAGCUGAGAUGAAGAAACAAAUCCAAGAACUAGAAGAAAAUGGCUACAUUAGACCGAGCACCUCACCUUGGGGAGCGCCGGUAUUGUUUGUGAAGAAGAAAGAUGGCAGCAUGCGCAUGUGUGUGGAUUAUCGUGCUCUAAACGAGGUGACUAAAGAAUAAAUAUCCUUUGCCAAGGAUUGAUGAUUUGUUCGAUCAACUGAAGGAAGCCACUAUAUUUUCAAAGAUAGAUCGCAGAUCAGGAUACCAUCAGUUAAAGAUUAGACCAAAAGAUGUGCCAAAAACAGCUUUUGUUACCCGCUAUGGUCUGUACGAGUUCUUGGUGAUGUUCUUUGGGUUGACGAAUGCACCUGCAUACUUCAUGAAUCUUAUGAACAAAGUAUUCAUGGACUGCCUAGACAAGUUUGUAGUGGUAUUCAUCGAUGAUGUGUUAAUCUACUCACGAAAUGAAGAAGAGCAUGAGAAGCACCUUCGAGUGGUAUUGGAAAGGCUAAGAGCACAUCAGCUUUAUGCCAAGUUUAGUAAGUGCGAGUUUUGGCUGGAGAAAGUGGAUUUCUUGGGACAUGUUAUCUCGGCUGAAGGCGUAGCUGUGGAUCCAUCCAAGGUUGAGUCUGUGCUUAAUUGGAAACAACCGAAGAAUAUUCCAGAGAUACGCAGUUUUCUUGGGCUUGCUGGGUAUUACCACCGUUUCAUAGAGGAUUUCUCUAGGAUUGCAAGACCCAUGACUCAGCUAAUAAAGAAAGACACAAAAUUUGACUUAAGCGCCUGUUUUAGUUCUGUCAGAUAUUCGGAAAGAUUUUGAAGUUUAUUGUGAUGCUUCCAAACAUGGGUUGGGAUGCGUGCUAAUGCAGCAAGGCAAGGUUGUGGCAUAUGCAUCGAGACAGUUGCGCCCCAUGAGGUCAACUAUCCUACACAUGACUUGGAAUUAGCUGCGGUAGUGCACGCUUUGAAGACUUGGACGCAUUAUCUCAUUGGGAAUAGUUGUGAGAUAUACACUGACCAUAAGAGCCUAAAAUAUAUAUUCACUCAACCUGAUCUAAAUUUGAGGCAGAGGAGAUGGCUAGAGCUAAUCAAAGACUACAAUCUUGGCGUGAAUUACCAUCCUGGUAAGGCCAAUGUAGUAGCUGAUGCAUUAAGUAGAAAGGUGUAUUGCAAUAACUUGAUGAUUCAGGAAGGACAACCAGAACUUCAUGAAGAAUUCAAGAAGUUGAAUCUUUACGUCGGUAUUGCUGAAAAUGAGGAUAUGCUGGAAGUGAAGUUCACGCUGGAAGAUCAAGUAAGAGAAGCUCAGAAGAAUGACAAAGACAUCGAAGAGAUUCGACAGAAUAUAAAGUUGGGGGAAGCGCCCGAUUACAAGGAGGAUGAAAUGGGAAACAUUUGGUUCAAAGAUCGUUUAUUGGUGCCAGACCAGAAGGAGAUCACGGAAAUAAUCAUGAAAGAGGCUCAUGAGUCAUCUGACUCUAUACACCCUGGCAGCACAAAAAUGUAUCAUGAUCUUCGAGGAAAUUUCUUGUGGUCUACCAUGAAGCGAGAAAUUGCCGAGUAUGUAUCUCAAUGUGAUAUAUGUCGAAGGGUCAAGGCGGAACAUCAAAAAUCCGCAGGAUUGCUUCAACCACUUGAGGUCCCCGUGUGGAAAUGGGAAGAGAUUGGAAUGGAUUUUAUCACAGGGCUUCCGAGGACAGCUUCAGGCUAUGAUUCUAUAUGGGUUGUAGUGGAUCGAUUAACCAAGUCUGCACAUUUUAUCCCUGUGAAGACUAAGUAUGGUGGCGAGACACUAGCUGAACUUUAUAUGUCCCGAAUUGUGUGCUUACAUGGAGUUCCCAAGAAGAUUGUGUCAGAUAGGGGAACACAAUUCACAUCUAGGUUCUGGAAGAAGGUACAUGAGGCACUUGGCACACAAUUGAACUUUAGCACGGCCUAUCACCCUCAAACAGAUGGCCAAACAGAGCGAGUAAAUCAAAUUUUAGAGGAUAUGCUUCGAGCAUGUGCCUUGACUAGCAGGCACAGUUGGGACAAGAGUUUACCAUAUGCAGAGUUCUCUUAUAAUAAUAGCUACCAGGCCAGCCUUCAAAUGUCACCUUUUGAAGCUUUGUAUGGAAGGAAGUGUCGCACACUUCUAAAUUGGCAUGAAGUGGGAGAAAAUCAAGUAUUUGGACCUGACACUUUGGAAGAGGCUGAUAAGCAAGUGAAGAUGAUCCGGGAUAGGUUGAGGGCAGCUCAAUCUAGGUAGAAGUCCUACUCAGAUCGGCGUCGCCAAGACUUAUCAUUUAAGAAAGGUGAUGACGUUUAUCUGAAAGUAUCACCACUUCGUGGUAUGCGUCAUUUUGGGAUCAAAGGGAAGCUAGCUCCUCGCUACAUCGGUCUGUUUGAGAUUACAGCUCGAUGUGGAGAGGUAGCCUAUGAGUUGGCACUACCAGAAAAAUUGUCCAAUGUGCACAAUGUGUUUCAUGUGUCACAACUGAAGAAGUGCUUUAAGAAGCCACAAGAGGAAGCUCAGAAAAUUGCACUAGAAAGCAUAGAGGUUCAGGAUGAUUUAACCUAUGAGGAGUAUCCUGUGAAAGUUUUGGAUGAGCAGCUACGAACCACCAGGAGAAAGGUGAUAAAGUUUUGCAAAGUGCAGUGGAGCAAUCACAGCGAGGAUGAAGCAACAUGGGAACGUGAAGAUGACCUUAGAGAGGAGUUUCCAAAUCUGUUUCCUUAGUUCUUGAAUCUCGGGGUCGAGAUUCCUUGUAAGGGGGGGUGGAGUUGUAACAACCUGAUUUUGAGUCAAUUUCUUUUUCUUUUUCAUAAGCAAGGGAUGUUACAUCAUACUCUAUGUAAAUAAAGUACAUUGGUUGGAGUUGCAGAAAUUAAUCCCAAAAGUGUUUGGGAAUUAAUUUGGCAUAGAAAAAAGGUGGAAAUAUGAUUCCUUAAUACCCUACUUUGUCUUUUGGGCUUUGAAUUAAUUUUGUCAGUUUCAUCAUGUCUAACUGGAGACGCAAACUCGUUUUCUUAGAUUUUUCUCUGGGUGAAACUUACCAUACAACUGGUGCGGGCGACAGCUGGAUCAUUGGUUGAAGGAGCAAUUGUUAGCCUGUGUGGGAGCAAUUAGCUGCCCGUAGCAGAUGAGGCCUAAUAAGUCUUGAAUCUGAAGAUUGUGACAACAGUGUGGCCACAUGCUAUAUGGGCUCUGGCUUGGUCAAGUAAGCUAGUCAGCCUUAGGUGCCGAUGAUGCCGUACCGCAAAUGGGGUGUCACCUGAGAUGGGAGAACCCUCGGCACAGAUGGGGUGUCAUGGACGGCACAUGAUACUUUCUUGACAUACGGACCUGUCUUCUUUCCCUUCCUUCCUCCCUCUCUAACUUCUUGCUGGAACUGAGGAUUUGGGUGAGUGGUCGAGGACCCUCGCGUUGUUGGAUAAUGCUUUUGAGAUAAACUUGAUUUUAUCAAAACCGUCUUCAUCAAAAGUAUAGUUGUAUUUCAAACAAAACCGCUUUUAUGCAAAAGAACCAUAUAGCCUUCCUUUGAAGCCAACAUGCAGUUAUCAGGGUUCCUAGAGGGGGCACGCUGAGUACGUAAUGUACUCAUGACGAUGGUUUGUUGUUGUCGUUGUUGUACAGAGUACCAUGAAGAAGAAUACGUUGACGGCGACUACUACGGUGAACCUGAGGAGUGAGGCCUCGUGUGCUACAUCGACUGCCUGUGGCUGAGAUGGAGGCACCACGCGUCGUUUAUUGUUUUCCGCUGCUAUUUCAAACUUGUAAUAAUAAUGCCCCAAGACAUUGCUUUAUGUAAGCCGAAGGGCAUUUUACUAUUCAAACUUGUGUUAACUUUUGAACUGUCGUGCAACGAGAUACAUUUCGCAUGUACAUUAGCAUUUCUGGUCUAGUGUUACAUGGGGUCUGGGAGUUUGUUUCCGGUUCUCACAAAAAUUGACUCAUAGGUGUUCAGUAACUUCAGUUGGCUCACCCAACUAAUGGUGAAAAUAAACUGUUAUUAGCAGUAGUACUACUAAACGGUCUACAGUAAACUAUGAUCAAUCUUGCACACCAGAUCAGAACCACGAAUGGAUAAGAUUAAGGACAUGAUUAUUCGAGGCAAAGAAAGAUAGCAAGGGCUCCUUACCAGGACACGUAGAAAGCGGGCGAGUUCCUGUUCAAAGCCGUGCCAAUCUUUAUGGUACGGAGGUAGUAAUCAUUUAAUUAAGACGCAAAACUCAGCUUUGAAAUUGGAAUUUCGCUGGACCCACACUGGAUGAGAUCUUAAUAUAGUUCAACAGAGCACACUCGCAUUUCAUAAGAUGUCGUGCUUGGAAGCUUUCGAACCUAAAUUGUUGUCGUGGUUUAAGUUCAAAUUUAAACUAAAACCACCACAAAAAUUUAGGAUUGAAGAGAGUAUACAUGAAGAUGAUAUAUUUCUUCCAUCCAACAAAAAAAUGUCUUAAGUUUGUCAAAAUUUGGAUGUAUCUAGACAUGAAUUAGUGUAUAGAUGAACUAAAAUUUUGUCGAAAUUGAGACAUCCUUUGUUGAAGGAGGGAGUACACGAUCUUAGAGCAAGUCCAGCAGCUCCCCUAAAGCCUCCCCUAUACCAAAUUUGGAGGAAAAAAAACCAAAAAUCAACAUCCAGCAGUUCCCCAGUUCCCCUAAAGCCUCCCCCAAAUUUCGGCUUCCCCGAUCCAGGCCUCCUUCUCCCCGAUGCAUCGGGGAGCCCAAUCCCUCACCCUAUCGACACGACGUCGUCCCUCCCGCCAAAACGAGCUUGCCACCACGUCCUGCCCUCCUUCUCCUUUCUCCCGCCACGAGCCGACCGGGGCCAGACGCGAGGGGCGGCCGCCAGCACAGAUGCGGGCCGCGGCCAUAGGCGGGCGCGGCGGCCAGUAUGCCGGAAAAUAAUUGUGAAGGGUGACUAGUAUGCCGGAAAAUAAAAAAAAUUGCACUGGUUACAUACCUAUUGCGAAACAUCCUUGCGUUGAAGGUACAAUUCACAGCAAAAUAGUCCUUGUGGAGACACUGAAAGCGUUUCGCAAAUUCGCGCUGAAGAGAAUGUCGUCCUGGAAGUGAACCUCAAUGGCGCGGAGCAUCCAACCUCGCCUGUUCUUCCUCGGCUAUGACUGCAACCAUCAUGAGAUCCUCAUCAUCAGACGAGGAAUCUUCGCAAAAUUGACGUGCCAAGCUUCGGCGGCGACUCAUUUUGUUGUGGAAAGAUGCAAGAGAUAUGGUGAAAACGAAGUAGAAGAGGAGGCAGAAGCAAGAUUGUGAGAGAUAUGAGAGCGAGCUGAUCAUGUAUAUAUAGAUAAAAAAAACUAGCCGUUAGAAAUCCGGCCGUUCAAAAACUAGCUGUUGGAGAGGUAGCCGUUGGGUUUCAAAUAGAACAGGUGAGAUCUGUUAGGGGAACUGCUGGAGUUGAACAAUUUUUAGGGGAGAAAAUUUUUAGGGGAGUCCCCUAUUUUGAGAUAUAAGGGAGACAUUUUAGGGGAACUGCUGGACUUGCCCUUAGAAGUUAGACUGAGUUUGACCCAUUAAUGUUCCUCGAGUCAGAUUGUGAUUUGCUUAUUGCAAUUUGACAUGCAAACUGUAAAAGGUUCAACAAGCAACGAGUUCAGAUAAUUUGGUUGUGCAAAUGCAAGCAACAUGUUCUAAUUUUGUUCUAAAUCAAUCUUCUUAAAGUUUGACCAAAUUAUAAAAAAAUAUACUAAUAUUUACAGUUUAAACUGAAACAUGCUAAAUGUAUAUAGCUUCGGAGGAGAGAGUGAUUUAGUACGUAUGCUUCUACCAGUCAGGAGGCCACCUUAUGUUGAUUGAUUUGGCUUUGCAAAAUAGAUUCGACUUUUAAUAAGAGUCACCUUUAAUGCGACAUCUAUACCACUAAGGCACCAAGAAAGGGCGGAAGCUGGGAUAGGCCACGUCGAUCCUCCCUGCAGCACGCCGCGUCGUGCUGGGCGCGCGCGAGCGAGAGAGAGCAAUUGGACUGUCCUUAUCCCGUCCAUGGGUCCUGCCAGGUUUGGUAGCCUUUGUGUCUUUGGUCGAUUUUGACAAAUAGACCUCGUGGCCGAUCUAUUUCACCGGAUGAACUUUGUUCGAAUCUAUUUCACCAGGAUAACCCUUUCGCUCAGCGCUCUACGCGCAGGCGUUAUUCUACCUGCAUUAGCGCCGCAUCGCGCUCUACGCGCAGGCGUUAUUCUACCUGCAUUAGCGCCGCAUGGUAGUGCGCUAUGUACCUGGCACCGUGGUAGUAUGAGCUAGCGUGGACUUGCUGGCAAGGAUGGGUAUGUAGCGCCUUAUGGUACGACGCAACAUAAUAACAUGUAGCGCGUCCACUUAAGGCGCUACAUAAUAACCGAGGCUUAUAUCCUUAGCCCAUCCCGAACCCUAGCUCCACUCCAUUCUUCCCCACGGACGGCGCACGAACAGACGGCGCACAUUUUCUCACCCACCUCGAGAGAUCUUCGAAUCCAAAGGCUAGGUGGGUCGAUUUUGCCCCCCCCCCUUCCCCCCCAAGCCAAGCGCAGCAAGGUACCCUCCCCCAUCCUCUUCUUUAGCUAGAUUUUUGUUGGAUUUUAGGGUGGAGGAAUCUAGGGUUUUUGUUGGUGUCCCCCAACUCUGUCCGAAUCUAUUGGACCAGGAUUUUUGUUGGUGUCAUGAAACCUUAGGGUGGCGGAAUCAAGGGUUCAGUUUGGUUUGUUGUUUUGAUGUUGACAUCCUAUGGCAGCAUAUAUGUGUUGGAUGAAUUUAAUUCUUGUAUUUCGAAAGUCAAGAUUUGAGGGACACUCUUAAUUUAGGUUAAGGUUGGAGGUGAUAACCUAGCAUUGUACAUCUUUGGAACCAUUAAGCUGAUAGUUUCUAGUCUUCAGGGCGUUGAUGAUAGUUCUCCAUUCUAAUCUUUUUAUAGAUGGCAAGAAUAGUUCAUGUUCAUUACGUGGACAAAGAGGCUUUUUUGGGAGGCAAUGAAAAGUCGGAUGUGGAGGAGAGAGACUUGGUUUUCGAUUGUAGUCCUACCUAUGGAGAGCUAUUGGAAGCUGUGCGGAUUGAGUUGGAAUGGAUGGAUCCAAGUGCUGUGGUGGAGUUGGAGAGAAGACUCAAUGUUGGGUUCGGGUCUCACCUCCGAUGGAAGACCAUGCGCAUAUCUUCCGAGCAACAAUGGGCCGCAUACAAAGAGACGGUGGCGGCAUCACAAGACAAGGCUCUUGAGUUAUUUGCUACAAGGAAGGUUGACGGCAGUUUUGACAUUGCAAGUCCAAUUCGAAGGCAGUCUCAAUGUCCAACAUCCGCCAGACAUGAACCAAGUUGACGGUAGCGAGCAUCUUGAGUUAUUAGCUGGAAGGAAUGUUGAUGGCAGUUUGCACAUUGUUAGUCCAGUUCGAAUGGAAUCUCACAUUCUAACAACUAGUCCUCCUCACAUGAACCAAGUUGACGACAGGGGGCCUCCGAUGCGUCAACCAGCUAGCCCGAUUACAUCAUCACAAGAGAAUGAUGAGAACUGGGCGAUGAUAGGGAUGAUAAUUUGCAUGACAAUAAUGUUGGUGAUUUGGAGGCAUACUGUUUGCACGAGGACAUGGAUCGUGACCUACCUUUUGGCUGUUCUUAUGCAGCGGAUUCGGAUGACAAUGGUCCCGAGGAAGAAGUAGAUGAGGAUGGGUUCACAACGAAAGAAGCCAAAGUUCAUGAGAAGUUGUUAGGCCGUGAUCAUCGGCUAUCAUUGUUCCGUGAUGUUAGCUUGGCGGAUGAAGCCAUUGUAGACGGUGACGACGGUAAUGCGCUUGGACCAAGACCCAUUUCAUACCGGGAUAUGAAUGAGGAUGACUAUGUCAUUCAGUCCGGUAUGAGGUUUCGAACUUUGUUGGAAUACAAGGUAUGGAUAAAGGAGUACUUUGUUACGUAUCAUCAUCCAUACAAGGUGAUUCAUGCCGACACCAAGCUUCGGUACGCUAUUAAAUGUGUGGAGGAUGGAUGUCCAUGGAUUGUGCGUGCAAGACCACUGAAAGGAGGGCCCGAAUGGCACAUAUCUAGUUGUUGUGCAACUCACCUUUGUACAGGAAAAAAAAAGAGAUGACAAGGAUGUGAAAAUAGAUCACCGCCAACUCACCUCCGAAUUCAUCGGCUACAAGCUUUCCAAUUCCAUCAAGUCACUACCGACAAUGUCGAUCAAGGAAGUCAUCGAACUGGUGGAUGCUCUUUUCCAUUACAAGGUGAAGUACGGGAAGGCAUGGAAGGCGAAGCAAGCCGCAUUCAAGAUGUUGUAUGGUGAUUGGGAGGAAGCAUACAACCGGCUCCCUAGGUUGUUGGGAGCGAUGCCUCAUACCAAACCGGCAUGGUUCAUGUGGUCGAGCCUUUUGGCCAAAGAACUAGAAUUUCCAACUGUGCAAAUGUCCGAGUUUUUGGCCGUGCAUUCUGAGCUUUCGAGCAAUGCAUAAGGGGUUUUCAGCACUGUGCAAAUGUGUAUUGUUCAAUACACAUUUGACAAGAUGAACGAGUAUUUCCUCAAAUAUCUCGAGGAAACAGAUAGGCAGAUUGCUGAAAAGAACAGGGCAAAAAAGAAGUACUUGUACUGUACCCACCAAAGGUGGACGCAUAGAUUACAUUUCAGACACGAAAAGCGGACUCCCAAAGCGAUGUAUGUUUUGAUAACGAUGAAUGGAUCUACCAAGUGAAUGAGCCCGGAGGUACCACAAGUGAUGGUGUGCAGCACGGAGGCCGGGCGUUCGAGGUCUCACUAAGAACAUGCGAGUGCUCCUGCAUGAGGCCCUCGUUGAUUCAUCUCGCUUGCUCGCACUUGCGCACAGCAGCACGCUUAAGACAUGUGGAUUAUAACCAUCUGCUCACCGUGAGGGAGUCAGAGGUGACUAUUGAGAAAACUAAGCUGACAUGGGAGGGCACCCAUGUCUUGACCAAUCACGGUGGCUCGAGUAUCACGGACUUCAACUUUGGCCGGAUCUAGAUCUUAAAGUUGUUUCACGUGAAAGACGCAAGACAAAGCGUUUUAGGGGUGACAUGGACGGCAGGUCUUAUGGAGGUCGGCGAGAAUGGGGCAACAACAUUUUUCAUGAGCCUAGUACUUUGGCCGUUGUGGAAAUUGCAACGGAGUGGGACACAAUACUAGAGGUUGCAGUAAGCAAUGUGGUAGAAAAAGAUCGAAAGGGAAUGAGGCAAGCACAAGCAAAGAAGUACAUAUCCAUGGAUGUGGUGGCCAGUGCUGCCAAGGCGUUAUUGCGCGACUAUAUUAAGCUUAGCGCAUCAGCCUAAGGUGUUAUUGCUGCUGAUUGCCAGUGCUGCCAAGGUCCAGUACCGAUUUCUCCUGCCGAAAUAUUCGUGUAACGCCCCACCUUAAGGCGCCAGACAACAACGUAUAGAGCAUUGUCGGUCGGCGUUAACAUGCAGUACCACUCGCACGGCUAUAUUCUUCGGACAAAGGGUUGUACCGCCGGGCUCAUCAAACUUGGAAACCCUAAAAGGACCCCUUUAUAAACACGGGCACUGCUCUUGGUCCCCAACUCCCCACCUGUCUCCUCAGAGCCGCCACUCCAUUGCACUGCCCCCCCCCCCCCACGCACCACAUUGCCGCUUGUCUCUCGGGUGCCAGCAUCCUACACCUCCACGGCAUGGAGCACUCGGCUCAACCGGCCUCCGGCACGCCUUCGCCGCCCGUCGAGGUCGCUGUUGUGGUGAACCCGAAUUCACCACCUCAACUCGCCCUCGUCAACCCAAAUGCGCUGAUCCAGAAUGGCGCGCCGGUCGUGCAGGCCAUGCCGUUCCUAGCUCCGGCCAUGGUUGCGGCUCAUCAAACGCCGCUCCCAUUGCCGGACGAGGACACCCUGUACAUGCUACUCAACAUAAACGGCACACCCUUGCAGUUCAACGCCCCCGUUGGUCGCCCCACUGUGGUUUCCCUUGCUACGAUGGCUACAUGGGCGGGCCUCAACUACAGCGAAGUGGCAAGGGCUUACAAUGCGGGUACUGGUCCCUGCCUCCGUUUUGGUUCACGUGUUGCCAUCAGCGGCUCGAACCAAGUGUUGCAGGUUGGGAACGAGGCCUCUAGGGCCGUCAUUAUGCAGGAUGAUGAGCGUGUUGUCGUUGUGGGCAACCACAAUGGGAACGUCCUCUGCGUUGCUCUCAUUGGUGGACCUAUCGAUCCAGUCAGUGACACUCUUCAUGUCAUGCACAAUCUCUCCAAUGGUAGCGUCGUCAUCUUACUGCUUGGAGUUGCGGCUUCCAUUAUGUACCGCCACGCGUAAGGCUAUCAUUUAGAUGUUAUGUACUAGUACUGUUAACCCCCAUAUGUAUUUGCCUACUAGCACCACCGAACGAUUUAGAUGCAAUGUAUUAGGUAUUGAGUAGCAGUAUUAAGCACCAUAUGUAUUUGCCGUAUGCUAGGGAACACGGUAGGCUACGUGAGCACAAAAUAAAAUUUUCUACCGAUUCCGCCCGGACCAAUGCUGUAGAUAAUGGAUCACGAGAUUACCGCUAGAUGCGCAGACCCGUAGCGGAAGUAGAGUUGGUGAUGCGUGUCGAUGCUGAGUAGUCGAUCGGCCUGUUCCACCUCGCCGAUCCCACGAACACUUGCUUGGUAUUUUUCUUGAUAUCCUCCACUGCUGUUUUAAGCAUCCCUUGCAAUUCAGUGACUUUCUUUUCAAUGCCAUGCAUAUGGUAGUUCUGAACGAACUGCGCAUAGCUCGGAGGAAGAGAUGCCAGAAUUGUAUCCGUGGCCAACUCUUGGCUCAACGGAAAGCCCAGCUUCUCCAAGCUUUGCAUGUAACCAACCAACUUGAUUACAUGAGGGCUCAAGGGUUCGCCUUCCUUCAGCUUAGUCUCCAGGAAGGACCUCCAGAUAUUAAAUCUUUCAGUCCUAGCCUGAGUCUGAAACAUGCCUUUGAGAGUCUCGAUCAUACCGAAAGCCUCAACAUUCUCAAACUGUUGCUGCAGUUCGGGCUCCAUAUAGGCAAGCAUCAGACAGCUGAUCUCAAUCGACUCAUCACAUGAGCGUUGAUAGGCGUUUCUAACAGUAGCAGUGGCAUUAUCAGCCGGCGCAGCUGGAAGUGGGUUCUCUAUGACAUGUUCUUUCUUAUCGUGCUUGAGAACGAUUCUCAGGUUCCGAUACCAGUUGGUGAAGUUAGUUCCAUUUAGUUUAUCUUUCUCAAGAACAGAUCUCAAAGCAAAACUGGACAAUUGAGGUGGUGCCAUUGAUCUACAACAGAAAAAUGCAAAAAUACUAAGACAAGUAUUCAUGAAGAGUAAUUCAUAUUAAACAUUUUAAUAGAAAUAUACUCCCACUAAAACCAACAUCCCUCCGUUGAUCAUUAGUGAUUCAAGAUCCCAGAUCAACCAAUCGACAAGUGAGCUUUAGCAUCACUGCUAGCCAAUUGAAUCACUCGGUAGGCAACUCUUGCCAAUCGUAUCUCUAUACGACUCUUGUUAGUCGGUAGGCAACACUUGCCCCGGCUCCGACUGUUUUUACCUCGAGGCCCAAAACUGUUUUGAUAGCCUCGUCAAGUUAACCAAAGCUUCGCAUGUAAGUGUCCGACACGAACAUGACCAACGACAAGGAAAAAUGGUGUACCCCAAUUUCAUGAGCCCAUCACCAAAUGUACUUGACUUGUGGUGUUGCGGCUAUUGAGGAGGUAAAUAAACUUGACAUUCUUUGAGGGAUCAUUCUACUCUAAUACAAUAAUAUGCAUAGGAGUAAACAAAGCAAUAACCAUCACAUAUAAUUAAAUUAACAUGUGAAAUAGUAUGGCUUUGUUUCUUCAUGGUGAUCUCCAUCUCCAUGAACUUGUUCAUCAAGCCGCCGGGUGCUCGUCCACUACAAAUCCACACUAUGGUACUACACCUAGUAACUACUAAUAAUGAAAUUACAAGGAGGAAGAUGUCGACACGCAGGUCCUUAUACACUUAUAAAGACAGCACCUUGGCUCCAGCCUGGCUGACAAACUCAUGACACGCAGGUCAUGCAAAUAUUACACACAUGCAUAACAUACAUAUGAGCCAUACUAUGCACAUCAAUCCUGCAAAAACAAGUUAAGCGUAGAAUCCUAUUCUACCGAACAGAUGUGAACUCGCAACGACAUCUUCUGAUUUGAUCAAUCACAUUGAUCUCGUGAAUCGUAUCCGGGUUUACGUUUCACUGUUUACCCCGAUGGCGGAAAUCCGACCGGUAGGGGUAGGUUGUGUCACGACCUUCAACAUCACGAUUAUCGGAAUCAAACAUCCAUUUUCCUCGAGUACAAUGGAUCCAAUCUAUUGAGUACAAAACCGAUCUACCACUUAGAUCGACCACAAAGAUAGCAAUAGAUCACAUAUACUACUAACAACAUAACACUCAUGCACGUAAUCCGAAUCCAAAACAGACAACAUUGGCUCUGAUACUUAUGUUAGGGAACACGGUAGGCUACGCGAGCACAAAAUAAAAUUUUCUACCGAUUCCGCCCGGACCAAUGCUGUAGAUAAUGGAUCACGAGAUUACCACUAGACGCGUAGACCCGUAGUGGAUGUAGAGUCGGUGAUGUGUGUCGAUGCCGAGUAGUCGAUCGGCCUGUUCCUCCUCGCCGAUCCCACGAACAGUUCGUCCAAGCGCCGCAGGUGCAGCGCCUCCGAGGUAUCCACACGUACAGAGAGGAACUCCGUGCGGCGGACUGCUAGAUCCGAUCGCAAGGUUUGGGCGUGGAGAUGUGACGGCCGAGUCUGACUCAUGCCACAAAACUGGGAUAACCCUAACCAGGUAUGCCUCCUCCACUUAAAUAGACCUCCCUGGUGGGCUUCAACACUUGAGGCCCGUUAGGAGUCUAAGCCCGAUACGAGUUGGAUCCGAUCCAAUUCGGUCCCAUCCCUUAAGUGUUCGACCCUACAGGUUCGCGGUCAAACGGACAAAACUACGAGUCCGAACACAGGUUCCGACCCAAGUCGAUAGUCAAUAGCGGCGCCUAUCAGCACGUGCUGACUCCCGAAUAACCACAAAGUAUAUUGACGAACCAUACAAUGUUUCCACAUGCUACAUUCCUUUUGCCUCACGAUAUGUGUGUCAAGCUCAAGGCGAGUACUUGUCAUCCUUGUGUAUAGCUCGACUCUCUUCUCGAUCUCUUGAUUCAGAUUCCCAAACGGGUUAACGCUUAACCCAAGUCGCAUGGCCAUGCUUUCCGAAUCUGAUCACUCGAGAGGGCCUAGAGAUAUCUCUCCCAAAGGGAGGGGCAAAUCCCAUUUUGAUCAACCAUGACUUGCAGCAUGCUUCUCAGCAAACCCGAAAGCUACCUUUAUAACUACCCACUUAUGGAGUAGCAUUUGGUAACCCCCUAAGUAAGCCAAUUCACAUCCCAAGCUCAUGCGAUGACCUCAGGUCUAGGACCGGCAUAAACAUCGUACUUGAGACUAAAAAAUGAUAAUCAUCUCGUUGUGUCUCAGUGCGGGUCUGUCCGACUCGGCAAUCUCAUUGUCGAGUCCAAUGCUAUUAGUUGGCAACACAUUGCCCUAUGACUUGUGAAAUAUAGUCAUCAUACUGAGUCGCAUUGCUAGUCUAGGUCGUGUGUCCGCAUAACCUCAAUGACUAGGAACCAUUAGAACAACAUCAUAGAAUAUAUAGUCUCACAAACAAAUCACAUAUUUAUUGAUACAUAUCAGUGAUGAUGUUCAAGGACAAUAAUAUUAACUCAUGAAUACAUAGGAAAUAACAUCAUCACAUGAUUGCCUCUAGGGCAUAUCUCCAACACCGUAUGGCUCCAACGAACCGUUGUUGUUUGAUUAAUGUAUUAGGUAUUGUAUGUGAACCUAACCGUUAUGUAUUAUGAAGCCUUCAACUAUUAUUGCUUUCGAUGGUUUUAAUGCAUUGGAUGGUUUCUGUGCAAUUGCAACUACAAUGGCGCAUAUGGCACCUUCUGUGUUAUACCUUGUUCUAUCAUCCAGCAGUUUUCUGAAAUUGUAACGCCAUUCGGGCUUAACGCCGCGUAUACGGGCGUUAAUCCCUUACGUACAUCGCCAUGACUCUGGGCGCUAUGUUGGCUGCCACAUGAAUGAUAGCGCCUACAGGUUAGGCGCUUUGGAUAUCUCGUGUUAGCGCCCAAGCGCGUGGCGCAAAGGUAUUUAUCCUACGAAAUACUUCGACCGCUUCUAAGACCACAAUAUUCGUACAGUAAUAAUCUCAGAUUACCACAAUGCUACCUGCCACAAGAUUCAUACAUUCUUAUAAAGCAUACAAAAGCUACAAUUGUUUCUUACCAUACAUCAUACAAGACAUGCAUAUAAGUACAUAGCAUACAUGAUACAAGAAACUUAGGGUGUGUUUGGUGGCCUGACUCAACCCAGGAAAUCUCUCCACAUCCCACUUUUAAAACCUGAGAGUGUGUUUGUUAGGUCGGGUGGUCACGCAGGGGUAACCCCACCUGAUGCAAAAAAGAACCCUCAGCCUGGCCGGGUUGUGAAGUAGAAAACGAGCUUCCCAUGUGAGCCUGGCUGACUUGGCCCGAAAAAAAUCUCUCGCUCGGCCACGCGUUAGGGCACCUCGCGCACCCCUCCCACCCCGGAACGCUUCUUUCCCCCACCAACCUCCCCACCCGACCUAGCCGUUGCUCCUCCCUUCCUUGUCCCCGACCCAGCCGCCGCUCCUCCCAUCCCAAAUCCUCCCGCCGCUCCUCCCAUCCUCGUCCCUGACCCAGCCGCCGCUCCCGUCGUCCUCGUCCCCGACCUGGACUCCCGCCGACCAGGUCGACUCCCGCCGUCAUCUUCCCUGACCUCGACUCCCAGGUCAAGUCCCCUUCGACUUUGGGGUUCAAGGCCUUGGAGCAAGUACACCUUCACCUUCUGGCUCAACAAAUAAUAAAAAGAGGAAGCAGGUUCUGAGUGAUGAAGAUGCAAUUCAGGUAAACAACAUGUCUGAUGCAUUGCGUGAUGUGGCUGGUGCUAUCAAUAACACUUGCCAUACCGAAACACCUAAUUUGUGCAAAACGGUUAUGGACCUUACCAAUUUCGAUAUGGAUCAACGCUUAGCUGUUUUGGAUUAUUUGACGGAGCAUAAGGGUAAAGGCCUUAAUUUCAUGAAAAUGGAACCUGAUGUUCGUGAAGCCUCAUUCAAGCGUAUCAUAGCAAAAAAUCCUGAUCUUGUUUGACUUGUUGUGAGUUGAUGUAACUUCAAAAUCUAUAUCUUUUGUAAUGCCUAAUAUAUUAUGAUGCAGACUUGGUUAUUUGGCCGAAUUUCCUAUGUUAACUUUAAUAUAUUUUGGUGAUGUUGACAUGCUGAAUUAUGUACUGAAGUGAGCAUUGGCAAUAUAUCAUUUUGCAGUAUUUUGGUGCUGUAUAUUUGCUUAUGUUUUUUUUUCAGGGAGUACUUGCUUAUGUUUUGAAUUUAUGAUGUAAUGGAUGAAAUUUGAAUAAGUUUAUGUGGUCAUCUCACCAAGUCACAUCUUUACUCACACGCACUCUACCAAACAAAGUCUGAGUUCAACAUGCCUAAACAGACACAGCCAACCAAACAACAUCACAACUCAUCAUAUCUCAACAGAUACAGGCUGCCAAACACAUGUGAAAAUCUCAGCUCAACUUGGCUAGGGUCAGCUUGUAUGGGAUGAGAUGUGAAUUCUGGAUUGACCCGGACUGCCAAACACACCCUUAUGGACGAACUACGACCUUUUCGCACAAAUGGAGAACAAAACAGCAGCCAACGUGAGUGCCACACUGCAAGAAGCCACUGCAAAAUCUCUAACUUCGACAUCCUUCUUCCUCCUUUCGUCGAGUUCCUUUUUCAACUCUUCCAUGUGGAUCUUUCCUUCAGCAAUCUGUGCUUCCAGAGCUUCCCUCAUCUUCAUCAUGUCAUCUACUAAUUGUUGGUUCUUCCGCUUCUGUUCAUUCAAUUGUGCUUCCAUAACUGCCAAAAGCUUCUUAACGAGAACACCCCCAGAAUGAAGUCCACUGCCCAGUACAUUUGCAUCAUCUAGCCCAUGCUCGAACAAUACAUCUCGGUCCCGGAUACCUAGGUUGAACUACACGAGCAGAUGUAACCGACGAAAGUGAGUAUUCCCGAAUUAACAAGGAGGUUCCCGAAUUGGAGUAUUUACCUCGUCUAUGGAUUUGCUCGUGCCAUCAACCGAAUCCCUAAGCCAUUGCAUCAUUGAAGGUGCCCCUUCGUCGGAGAAAUCAAUACGUUUCAUCUUGUACGCAAGGGUUAGAGGGGAAGGACAAAAUCUUCCGGCAGCGAUAGGAGAGAUGGGGGGCGGGGGCGGCGAGAGGAGAGAUGGGGAACUAGGUCACGGGGAAGUGCAGCUCCUGGCCAACGCUUAAAGUAUUUUUGUCACUUUAGCAGGAAACCCCUUGUGCAGUGCAUAACAUAUUUAGCGCCGUGCUGGUCGGCGCUAUACAACCUUAUGACGCGCCCUGUCAAUCGGCGCUAAACUCAAUCCUGCAGCGCCCUGUCGGUCGGCUCUAAACUUAGUCCUGCAACGCCCUGUCGGUCGGCGCUAAACUAACCAGUAUAUAUGGCCAAGCCACAAAAGAAACCGGUAACACAUUCUCCUCACUACGCCUUCGUCCACACACCCAUCCUCUCCACCCACAAGCCGGGGGAACCCUAGAUCCGUCUGGUGGAAUGGCGUGGCCGCACAUCCCAAGUAGCCGUGCUUUCCCACAAGAAGUGAUGCGCCGGGGGGACCCCGAGCUGCGGCUAGAGGAGGCGUGCAUCGUCAUCUCUAGGACUCCGGAAAUGGAAGAAAUGGAGAAGAUGCUUGUCGAUCGCGUGCUUCUGGUGACAAUCCUUCCAGGAGUUGAGAACCCGCCUCGUAGGGUGACGAUCCGCAAUGUCAUUGACACAAUCAUGUCGAAGUGUGGAAUCGAGGAUGGAAUUAGUUGCAAAUUAAGUAGCCCCCCAGCUCACUACCUUUUUCGAUUCAAUCGUCCUGAAGAUUGCACGGCUGCAUUGAAUCAGUCCAUGCAAAUGGAGGUUAAUGGGUGCACUAUUAAGUUUGCUCGCUGGAAACGUUCUUACCGUGGCGAAGAGGCGUUGCUCCCAUUCAGCACUGUCGUGUCCCUUGAUGGGUUUCCUGAAGAUGGGUACGAGAGAGGAUUUGUGCAGAAGAUUGUGAACGAGCUGGGCGGCGAGUUCAUCGAGCACCUAACCCCUGUGGACCUUCGUUGCGUCAAGCUGAAAGCAUGGAUUCGUAAUCCUUGGAAGCUUCCUAAGAAGCUAAGACUCGAGGUGCCAGAACCAUUUCGGUUCACAAUUCCUGACGAUGAUGAUGAGCUAGGCAUCGAGCAGUCUUUCGAAGUUCCAGGAACUGCACUGUCAAGGUGUACUUUCAUUUUGAUGUUAUUGUGCACCUUCAUGAGGUUGUCGAUCCAUAUCCAUUGUUAACAGAUGGACCUUUAGUGACCCGUGUCAGUAGCAGUGAUGAUUCAGGCUCGGAUGAUGGCAUGUUUGAUUCACCUCAAGGUGUAGGUCAUGUUAAUCGGGUGCACGAUUGGAUUUGCUAUGCUAGCUUUGUAGAUGGAUUAGUGCCCAGAGUUGACCAGUACAAGCAUACUCGGUGCUGACCUAUUGUUGUUCUAUGCAAGUACAGCUAGUACGGUGUUCUAUUGUGCUAAGCCCUAUGUCGUGUGUUCUAAUAUGUAAGGCUGUAUCGUAAUGGUUUGUUAUGUGUCCCCUAACGUUUGUUGUAACCCGAACUAGUUUGAACCAUGUACCAGUGAAUGAGGCAUAAUGCACUUCCUUUAGUUGUAACUUGAACUUAUUUGAACCGUGUAUGCGUGAAUGAGGACUAAUGACGUUGAACCUUCUACUUUAUCUGGCCAUGCAAAACUUAUUUGAAACAUGUAUAUUUUGUUUCAUUCCAGUAUAUGGUUUUUACCUUCAACUUUUGCUGGCCAUGCAGUUAUAUGGUUCAAAACAAUGCAAAGCUGGCAUUAACGCCUUCGUGUUAGGCGCGAGAGUACUAACGCCUGGCCGUUAGGCGUUACAUAUGUGCCGGCUCAAAAUCUCUUGUAACACCUUGUCGGUCGGCGCUAAAAACAAAACCCUAUAAAUCGCUAUUUAUAAGCAUCGCGAAGUCAUCUUGUUUCCAAUUCCACCCUGUCCCCCUCCCCCCCCCCCCCCCACCCCACCCCACCCCACCCAAACGCCGCCAUUGCGACCAAGUUGAGCACGUCCACCGUCUUGUGCAUGCUAUGGAGCAUGCGACUCUAGUUGAGCUUGUGCUCGCGGACGGCCCACCCCAGCUCGCCGCGCCGGGGGUCAUUCCGACAAUCCAUGGCCUCCAUGUAAGGGUUGGUCAGGAUGCUGCGCGGCAUGGGGUUAUGGCCCCUGAUGAGCGUGUUGUCUUCGUGGGAAACCAUGAUGGUAACAUCUUCCGUCUGGCCAUCCUGGCCGACCCCAUCGGUGUUGUAGACGACCCCCCCAAUGGCGUUAACAGGGUCGCGUCUUCUCGUUAUGGAGGGGUCGUGCUAUUCCUCCUCGGAGCUGCGGCUUGCGUCUGGCUACACCGCCGCAACUAGGUCGAGAUGCGAGGAAUAAAGGUAAAUGUAAUGGGUGUGCGAUGUGUAAUGGAUUGUAAUGUAUGUAUGCGUCUUAAUGGAUGUGUAAUGUGUAAUGGAUUGUAAUGUAUGUGUUAUUUGUAAUGGAUGUGAAUGUGUAAUGGAUGUGUAAUGGAAUGCAGUGGAUGUGUAAUGGAAAUGUAAUGCCUUUCUUAGCAAUAAUGUUUCAUAGAGAGGAAAAACUUGUGAGCAAAUAACUGACGUAAGGAGAAAUCCAAACGUAUGGCGCCUCACGCGUAGGCGUUAACGUAGCGUCAAGGGGCCUUGCGCGCCUUAGUCGCGGGCGCUAGCCGUAUGGCUACUCACUGGCAUGAAACUUAAAAGGCAGAACCAAUAACUGGAAAUUUGACCAAGACACAUUUAUGGAAUUUUAUGAAAAGGACGGGGCCAAAGUUGACAUUUAAGCCGCGUAAUUAGAUGCCAUAAAUUGUGUCAGAAGUCAAGUUUAUAUAAUGCUUAGCUACGGAUAUUACACCUCCAUAAUAUGUUUGUAUGAUGCUUAUGACAUUACAGCUCCAUAAAGGUAAUCUACUUUGUCCUUGUCUUUGUUGCCCCUCUGGCCCUCUUUGCAACGGCCUUCCGCCUUGCCGGCUGUUCUACCUCCACGUCAUCUUCCUCCUCAGCGUCAUCUUCGUCAUCAGCGGUCAAAUCCAAUAUAGCCUUCCUCCUCUUCUCGUAAUCUGAAGGGGUGUAACGCCUGAAGGACCUCCUAGGCUUCAGUUUAAUCGCCGAGCGUUGCCAUUCCCCUAACGCCGUGUCAUCGUCCGCUACCUAAGAACAACCAAUAUGGAUUAAUUCGAUACUUUUGGAAAAGCUGCAUCGUACACAUGGUGUCAUACCUCCAUCGACAGGUCAUCUUGUAGCGCAACCGUCGAGGAUUCUGUGUGCUCGCUAUCAUUAUUGGGAGAAGCUGACCUUGACGAUGAGAGGAUUCUGUGUGCUCGCUAUCAUUAUUGGGAGAAGCUGACCUUGACGGUGAGACAAAUUCUGGGUCACGACAGCCCAUAAGGUUGGCUAACCGCCGUAGCUGUUGGCCUUGUCACUGUACAUCAUAUGCUUGUUGUUAAUACAAAGGGGAGUACUUUUUCUUCUAUGGACAGUGGAGGAAAUUGAUACGACCAUGUGUAAUUACCUUCACAAACUCCCUAAGUGCAGUAUUCUCGCCCUCCUGUCCCCUAGUUGUGCUUUCUAAAAUGGACUCGAAGUCAUCUGCUUCCUUCCUGACCUCGUCACGCUGUGAACGGUACAAGGUUACAAAAGUACAAGUGGCAGCAAGGGUAAUAUGAACAAAGAAGCUUAGAAAUUACCACAAAGUUGAGCACAGGAGCAAAAUAUGUUUGCCUCCCCUGCUUCAAAAGCCUUGUGUAUUCAAGGUUGGCAACCUCAUCGAAUAUCAACGGCUGAUCCAAUAUAUCUCGGCUGUAAGCCGCCGGUGUGAUGUCCGCACAAGUGUUAUCCAGAAACCACUUGAGAUAAUUGCUAAAUGCUAGUGGGCAAUGCAAUCUUACUUUGGAGCCUUGAGCUGUCUUAGCCUUCUCAACGCAGCGGAGAUACUUUUCUACAUGCUCUUUAUGUGUGACAUCCCACUUCUGGUCCCUCUUAACCUUCUUCCUGUCAAGCCUAAACAUAUAGAUGUAGCAAACUUAUGAAGUAAUGUUAGGCAGCUAUGAACAUUCGUAGUAAGGUACAAGUGACUAUCUUACUCGUGUAGCGUGUAGCCCGUGUGCUUCCACUUGGGCGGGUGGGUUUGAAACAAUCCAAACUGUUGCAUCACACAAUGUGGCAAAUGAAAUUCAACAGCCCACAAACAUAUCAAUGGGCACCGCAUGGUCCACAGAUGGUCUUCUUCCAAGCACUUCGGAUUAAAUCGAAAUUCUCCGCAAAAUUAUCACGAGACCCGUAUGGUUCCCAUGCAACCUUCACAACAAAGCAAAACCCCGUCAAUGUUGAGUCAUAAUGGGAAUCAUGAAAAUCACAGGGAGUAAAAACCUAAUUACCUGCUCAGGGGUGAGGGUGAGGGCAUCGAACUCGUUCGUGUACUGCUUGUACAGAAUUGUUGUGUCGCUACUGCUCUCGGAAACCACAUCCCAUUUGUACGCCCAGGUAGGUCGGCGCAGGGGGUCGCCAUUAUCAUCCCAGAGAUUAUACUUCACCGACUUCGGCCGGCCUACUGGGAACCGCUCCCCGCUCCACACGGAGAGAAGCAGCAAAGGACCGCCAAUGUCGCUGUCACGACCAGUCCUGUGGCAUGCAUCGUCCAACUGCAGAUAAAUGCAUAAGGUUCAGUUAUUCAUUCAAUCGAGCAUAAAAAUGGCGCCUGUGCAGAAAAAAAACAUGUCGGUAGAGGUACGCAAGUGCCGCAGUACCCCAACUCCAAUUCGUGUCCCAAACAGUCAAUGCCUUCAGCCACAUCCAUUGGGCUGUCCUGCCACCGACGUCCGCAAAUAGGGUCCUAGUGAUGACAUACUACACAUAGACGCUGGCGUACUGCUCAACCACUUCAUCUACAGCAUCAGGGGGGCACUGCGAGAAGUUCUCCGUGAUCCAAGUAUAAGUAGCGCCGGCCGGGACUCUUAUCAUUAAUGGGGUCUUCAGACACCGAAGCCCUCCCAAUAAGAGCCGCCAUCUGCUCGCGCCAGUUUGAUGAAUCCGUGUUCAUGCACACCGGAAUCCCUCGAUGGGUAGUGCAUAGAUCAUUGAAACAUCCUGCAGCGUAACGGUCAUCUCACCGGUCCUAAGGUGGAAGGUGUGCGUCUCCGGCCUCCACCGGUCCACAAGCGCUGUGAUUGCAGCGACGUUCAUACUAGGCAUCGAUCGGGUCACGAGAUUGAUGAAGGGAAGGAGCCCCGUCCUCCAGAUGUAAGCAGUGUACCUCUCAUCGUAACGCAUGACGUUCGUUGACGCUUUGUGGCACCUAAGUUUGAGGGGUCUUAAAUCCUGCAACAAAAAACAAGCCUGUUACUAAACUUUUAAAUAAAACAUCUAUGACAACGAGUAGCAUGUGGAAAUUCAUCUCACCUCUCUUUGCUCUCGUAUGACACGUGCACGGUGAUGCUGAUCAUAAUGCUCAUCAAUAUGCUCCAUCGCAUCUAUACGUUGUGAAAAGACAAAUAAGAAGAUAAAGUAGUACUUGCUAAUGGGCCUUUCUUCAGUGAGACUAGAUUCAUAGGAUAUAUUUGUCUAUACAAUAGACAUAUACGUUGCAGGUACACAAGAUGUGAUGAAGCAUUGCAGUGCCAAAGAAUAUAAGUUUAAGUUAAUCAUGUUUGUUUCAUUAACUAACUCACAAGUAAAUUCUUUCUAAUAAUGUUUCUUUGUUUCAUUAACUAAGUCCCAAGCAAAUUCUUUCUAAUCAUGUUUGUUUCAUUAACUAAGUACAAACUAGUUUAAUUAACAUUACGAUAGCUACUAAAAAAAAUGAACUGACAUAAUUUCAGAGUUGCAUAAUUACCCACAUACAAACUCACAAACUAUAAUUCCCCACAGCAUGCAUAAGGAUCCCAAAAUGGCAAACACUUGUACUAAACAUCAAAAUCUUUAUAAUCAGACGUCCAUACGGUACCCAAAUCCAGACGUCCAUACCUACGGUUACAGGCCCACAAAUGAAGUUACAAAAUGUCCAUAUGCAAACCAAAUCUCUAAAAUCAACCAUGCUCUCAUUCGUACACAAUGUUAUCUCCCAUAACAGAAAAAUCCAUGCCAAAAAAUGGGUAAUGAAAUGGUUCUUACAAUUCAAAUUCAAUACAACUCUAUAACAACAAAGAGAUUUGAGUUGGCAGUGCCACUCUAUUCGGCCCACUUUUGAGAUGCCUAAUUGGGGUGGUAUGAACAAUCUUAUUUCCUAUAACACCAAAUUGGGUACAAGUGGAUAAACGAACGGAUGAACGAACUGCAAACCACCUAGGGUUCCCAAAUUGGGAAAAAUACCGGGUUCGAACUCAGGAAUCGGGAAUACCUGCGGGGAAGGACGAGUAGCAAAUCCGCGGCCGCGAGAUCCACGAGCCACAACGCGAGCCCUCGCGCGCCGCCGCGAUGUCCUUCCGUCGCCAACGAGGGGGAAAAUGAAAGCUAAGAACCUAGGGUUCGCAAAUUGGGGCAAAUUCUGCGGGGAAGGACGAGUAGCAAAUCCGCGGCCGCGAGAUCCACGAGCCACAACGUGAGCCCUCGCGCGCCGGCGCGAUGUUCUUCCGUCGCCAACGAGGGGGAAAAUGAAAGCUAAGAACCUAGGGUUCGCAAAUUGGGGCAAAUUGAAGGAUGCAAAUCAGGGAUCGGGUACAUUACCUGCGUGGAAGGAUCGAGGACGAAAUCCAAAGGCAACCUUGAUGAUGGGGCGCCGCCGCGAGACGACGCAACUUAGGGCAAUGGUGAUGGCGAUGCGCAAACUGACUCGGCCGCAAGUUAGGUUAAUGGGAUGAUAGCGCCCGCAUGGACGGCGCUACAUGCCCUGCCUUGUGGGCCCUUCUUUGGCCACGCUGGGCCGCGCAGCAAGCCUUGUUGUUUUAAGGGAUACUUACCUCUUCUGUCCCUUCUUUUAUGCCAUCCUAUCUAGCAGUUUCCCUUUUCCUUUUUUUUGGGUUUUCGCUGUAUGUCCAUUUUUGAAUCAUGAUGCCAGCGUUUGUAGGCUUCUAGGCAGUGUGAGUAUGUGCACAUGUGCAUAUUCAGGGGUAGCACACAGAUUAAUGAUAUUGAUGGUGAAGCAUUUGUCUGUGCCUUCUUCAUUGCAGAACUUCUCAUGCUCUCCGACGUCUCCGUGAACUCAACUUUCUGAAUAUUUCCAUAUAUUAUUAAAUCUGGUGAUAUAAUUGUAUGACAUUUAGUUCCUCUUAAAACAAAUUUUCAUGGUUCACCAUGGCACUAUGGCCUAUAGUUAGCAUUUUUACUGAAAAUUUCUCCAAAAUACAGUCGUACAGAAUCCUCAAUUUUGCGUCUGUCCAUCUGGUUAAUCCUUGGUGAUUUCUCAUGUAUGCAGAUAUUCUAAAUAGUAAUUUGCUAUCUCCUUUUUGACUGGGUGAUUUGCUACUUUUAUGCUUCAUCUGAAAUUCAACGCCUCAACUGAAAAUUUUAGCUGACAUGAGAUGUGUUAUUUUAUUUUUCAGGCUUAUGAGAAAUGCUUCCAGAACCUACACUACAUGCAGUGAUAUGAAGAACACACAAUUGCUCACGUGAUUCAGGC
rnacentral:lncRNA from 1 species